rnacentral:piRNA from 1 species
UGAGGUCCCAUUAAUAGCUGAUAGGAGG